AACACUGUUAACCUGCGGUACCUGCGGAGGGAUCAUUAUUGAAUAAACUUGGUCAAGCUGUUGCUGGUCCUUCGGGACAUGUGCACGCUUGCCACCAAUUUUAACCACCUGUGCACUUUUUGUAGACUUGGAAACGUUUCUCGUGGCAACUCGGAUUGAGAACUGCUGGCGCAAGUCGGCUUUUCUUAUGUUUUCUCAGUCUAUGUUUUCAUAUACACCUAAUGUAUGUAUCAGAAUGUA
rnacentral:misc_RNA from 1 species